rnacentral:rRNA from 1 species
AUUGAACGCAGGCGGAAUGCUUUACACAUGCAAGUCGAACGGCAGCACGGACUUCGGUCUGGUGGCGAGUGGCGAACGGGUGAGUAAUGUAUCGGAACGUGCCCAGUCGUGGGGGAUAACGUAGUGAAAAUUACGCUAAUACCGCAUACGAUCUAUGGAUGAAAGCGGGGGAUCGCAAGACCUCGCGCGAUUGGAGCGGCCGAUAUCAGAUUAGGUAGUUGGUGGGGUAAAGGCCCACCAAGCCAACGAUCUGUAGCUGGUCUGAGAGGACGACCAGCCGCACGUGAACUGAGACACGGUCCAGACUACUACGGGAGGCAGCAGUGGGGAAUUUUGGACAAUGGGCGAAAGCCUGAUCCAGCCAUUCCGCGUGCAGGAUGAAGGCCCUCGGGUUGUAAACUGCUUUUGUACAGAACGAAAAGGUUUCUACUAAUACUAGGAGCUCAUGACGGUACUGUAAGAAUAAGCACCGGCUAACUACGUGCCAGCCGCCGCCGUAA